UACGUAGGGUGCGAGCGUUAAUCGGAAUUCUGGGCGUAAAGCGUGCGCAGGCGGUCCGCUAAGACCGAUGUGAAAUCCCCGGCUUAACCUGGGAACUGCAUUGGUGACUGGCGGGCUGGAGUAUGGCAGAGGGGGGUAGAAUUCCACGUGUAGCAGUGGAAAUGCGUAGAGAUGUGGAGGAAUACCGAUGGCGAAGGCAGCCCCUGGCCAAUACUGACGCUCAUGCACGAAAGCGUGGGGAGC
rnacentral:rRNA from 1 species